AACGCGAAGAACCUUACCUGGCCUUGACAUCCAGAGAACUUAGCAGAGAUGCUUUGGUGCCUUCGGGAACUCUGAGACAGGUGCUGCAUGGCUGUCGUCAGCUCGUGUUGUGAAAUGUUGGGUUAAGUCCCGCAACGAGCGCAACCCUUAUCCUUUGUUGCCAGCGGUUCGGCCGGGAACUCAAAGGAGACUGCCGGUGAUAAACCGGAGGAAGGUGGGGAUGACGUCAAGUCAUCAUGGCCCUUACGGCCAGGGCUACACACGUGCUACAAUGGCGCAUACAAAGAGAAGCGACCUCGCGAGAGCAAGCGGACCUCAUAAAGUGCGUCGUAGUCCGGAUUGGAGUCUGCAACUCGACUCCAUGAAGUCGGAAUCGCUAGUAAUCGUAGAUCAGAAUGCUACGGUGAAUA
rnacentral:rRNA from 1 species